UGUGUUAUCUUUGGUAGCUAAUUUUGCCGUGUGCAAAUACUGAACUUGGUGUCCUGCUGCUAUUUAACUGUUGUAGAUUGAGAAUUGGAAUUGGGGCUGCAACUAAAGUAGCAAAAAUAUGAUGUAUUUCAAAUAUCAUGAUGAAAACAAGGAACCUAACAACUCUUCAUCUCAAGGUAACUAGUUUCUGAACCUAUUAUCUAAAACUAAAAUGAACCAUGGAAGUAGAACAAGUAAUUAUCAGUCUUGGCUGGGCAUGGAACUGAUUUCCCCUGGUCUUGGAACUGAUUUCAAGAGUAAAUUAUGGAAAAAAUUAACAAGUACUCAAGUCCAACUUGCAAACUAGUAGCAGUUCUAUAGUGCAAGCAUGCAUCAAAUUUCAAAAGCGAACCUGACUUAUAUAUAAAAUGUCUUGAUGCAUGCUAUCAGAAAUCUGAAAAUAAACUCAGUACAGUUCCUAUAUUUUUAGUAUAUGUUCUACUGUAAAUUAUAUGUGUUCUACUGUAACUUUUUUAAAAACAGUAUAUGUUCUACUGUAAAAAACAUACAUAAAAUGUCUUGAUGCAUGCUAGCAGAAAUCUAAAAAUAUACUCAGUACAGUUCCUAUAUUUUAUUUCAGUUCAAUUUCAAACUCCAAUUCAGUUCAAUUCUGGUUUUACUAAACUUGCUAUGGAGCUGCCGUAUUCCUAGUGCUGGAGAAUUGGCUCAACCCAACCCGCAACUCCGUUUGCUCACAUGUAAGUCCAUGGUUUUACAAAGAAGCAUGGUUUUACAAUCUUCCAAAGGUAUUUGGUGUCCGCGGCACUUGCAUGUUUGAUGGACUCCUUGCUCACCGUUCACCAAGUCCUUUCUCCUUUCGUUUGCUUUGCUUUUACCAGGGAUGCAAUGAAGGGAUGAAAAGAAGUUGGGGCACAAUUCUUGGAUAAUUGCACCAUGGAGCGUGUGGUCCUCAGUUAAAACAAACACAAAACAAUUUCUAGUGCAUUUCUAGUUGCUACUUGCUGCCACUGGUAAAUUGGACAAGUUCAGAAAGUGCCAUGGAGCAAGCUCAGUAGAGAUUGUGCCGUUGACCUUUCUUACUGAAGCUCCUUCCAGUUGUUACUUGGUGCCAUUGUUAAAUUGUGAAAGUUCAAAGACUGUCAUAGGGCAAAAUCAAAAGUUUGCUUUCAUGACAAGUGUGAUUUUUGGUCAUUAUUUUGUACAAUUCAUUUGGCACAAGCUUUGUGUGAUUUUAUGAAGCUUUAUACGAAACUGUGUUCUAUCAUAACAAACAUUAUGUUGUCGGUUUAGGUGUAAAACCAGAAAAUAACUUCAUG
rnacentral:lncRNA from 1 species